AGCAUGUGGUUUAAUUCGAAGCAACGCGAAGAACCUUACCUGGGCUUGACAUCCCUGGAAUCCCCUGGAAACAGGGGAGUGCCCUUCGGGGAGCCAGGAGACAGGUGCUGCAUGGCUGUCGUCAGCUCGUGUCGUGAGAUGUUGGGUUAAGUCCCGCAACGAGCGCAACCCUUUGUCUUUAAUUGCCAUCAUUCAGUUGGGCACUUUAAAGAGACUGCCGGUGUUAAACCGGAGGAAGGUGGGGAUGACGUCAAGUCCUCAUGGCCUUUAUGCCCAGGGCUACACACGUGCUACAAUGGGUGGUACAAAGAGAUGCAAUCUCGCAAGAGCAAGCAAACCUCAAAAAGCCAUCCUCAGUUCGGAUUGGAGUCUGAAACCCGACUCCAUGAAGGUGGAAUCGCUAGUAAUCGCGCAUCAGCAUGGCGCGGUGAAUACGUUCCCGGGCCUU
rnacentral:rRNA from 1 species